rnacentral:rRNA from 1 species
GACGAACGCUGGCGGCGUGCUUAACACAUGCAAGUCGAACGGAAAGGCCCUGCUUUUGUGGGGUGCUCGAGUGGCGAACGGGUGAGUAACACGUGAGUAACCUGCCCUUGACUUUGGGAUAACUUCAGGAAACUGGGGCUAAUACCGGAUAGGAGCUCCUGCUGCAUGGUGGGGGUUGGAAAGUUUCGGCGGUUGGGGAUGGACUCGCGGCUUAUCAGCUUGUUGGUGGGGUAGUGGCUUACCAAGGCUUUGACGGGUAGCCGGCCUGAGAGGGUGACCGGCCACAUUGGGACUGAGAUACGGCCCAGACUCCUACGGGAGGCAGCAGUGGGGAAUAUUGCACAAUGGGCGGAAGCCUGAUGCAGCAACGCCGCGUGCGGGAUGGCGGCCUUCGGGUUGUAAACCGCUUUCGCCUGUGACGAAGCGUGAGUGACGGUAAUGGGUAAAGAAGCACCGGCUAACUACGUGCCAGCAGCCGCGGUGAUACGUAGGGUGCGAGCGUUGUCCGGAUUUAUUGGGCGUAAAGGGCUCGUAGGUGGUUGAUCGCGUCGGAAGUGUAAUCUUGGGGCUUAACCCUGAGCGUGCUUUCGAUACGGGUUGACUUGAGGAAGGUAGGGGAGAAUGGAAUUCCUGGUGGAGCGGUGGAAUGCGCAGAUAUCAGGAGGAACACCAGUGGCGAAGGCGGUUCUCUGGGCCUUUCCUGACGCUGAGGAGCGAAAGCGUGGGGAGCGAACAGGCUUAGAUACCCUGGUAGUCCACGCUGUAAACGGUGGGUACUAGGUGUGGGGUCCAUUCCACGGGUUCCGUGCCGUAGCUAACGCUUUAAGUACCCCGCCUGGGGAGUACGGCCGCAAGGCUAAAACUCAAAGGAAUUGACGGGGCCCCGCACAAGCGGCGGAGCAUGCGGAUUAAUUCGAUGCAACGCGUAGAACCUUACCUGGGUUUGACAUGGAUCGGGAGUGCUCAGAGAUGGGUGUGCCUCUUUUGGGGUCGGUUCACAGGUGGUGCAUGGCUGCCGUCAGCUCGUGUCGUGAGAUGUUGGGUUAAGUCCCGCAACGAGCGCAACCCUUGUUCACUGUUGCCAGCACGUUAUGGUGGGGACUCAGUGGAGACCGCCGGGGUCAACUCGGAGGAAGGUGGGGAUGACGUCAAGUCAUCAUGCCCCUUAUGUCCAGGGCUUCACGCAUGCUACAAUGGCUGGUACAGAGAGUGGCGAGCCUGUGAGGGUGAGCGAAUCUCGGAAAGCCGGUCUCAGUUCGGAUUGGGGUCUGCAACUCGACCUCAUGAAGUCGGAGUCGCUAGUAAUCGCAGAUCAGCAACGCUGCGGUGAAUACGUUCCCGGGGCU